rnacentral:rRNA from 1 species
AUUGAACGCUGGCGGCAUGCUUUACACAUGCAAGUCGAACGGUAGAGGGGGCAACCCCUUGAGAGUGGCGAACGGGUGAGUAAUGCAUCGGAACGUGCCCAGUCGUGGGGGAUAACGCAGCGAAAGCUGUGCUAAUACCGCAUACGAUCUCUGGAUGAAAGCGGGGGACCGAAAGGCCUCGCGCGAUUGGAGCGGCCGAUGUCAGAUUAGGUAGUUGGUGGGGUAAAGGCUCACCAAGCCAACGAUCUGUAGCUGGUCUGAGAGGACGUCCAGCCACACUGGGAGUGGGACACGGCCCAGGCUCCGACGGGAGGCAGCAGUGGGGAAUUUUGGACAAUGGGCGCAAGCCUGAUCCAGCAAUGCCGCGUGCAGGAAGAAGGCCUUCGGGUUGUAAACUGCUUUUGUACGGAACGAAAAGGUCUGGGUUAAUACCCUGGGCACAUGACGGUACCGUAAGAAUAAGCACCGGCUAACUACGUGCCAGCCGCCGCGGUAA